UAUCGCAUUUAAGUUAUGAAAAUAUAUUUGAAAAAAAUAUUAUAAAAAAAAUUGGAAAAGGAAAAAUUGCAGUUUUCUUGCUCUUUUGCCUUCGGGUUCUAAAGUAUAAAUUUGUAUUAAACUUAUUAAGUUAUUAAAAAAUAUCGGAAUUUUUUACUAACAUGACAAAAUUAUAUUAUGCAAUUGAAAAAAUAUUGCAUACCUUCCGGGUGAGAAAACAAAAAUGAGCAAAAAGUCUUCAACGUAAUGGUCGAAUUCAAGAGUUAAAUAGCCAACUGGAAAUUUCUUUUAUUUAUGAGAUAAAAAACACUUAAUAUUAUUGUAUAUAUACAUACUUAUAACUACAACUAUACACGAAACAAAAUAGAAGAAAAUGGUAUUAAAUGCAAAGCAGAAGAAGAAGAAGAGCAAAAUAUUAAAAAAAAAAAAAACAAACAAACAAUAAAACAACAAAAUGAGAAUCAAAAUAAAAA